GUCAUUUCAUUAAUUGAUUCAUUCAUUAAUUGGGGGCAGACAUACUCCCAUCCUCUGUGUAGUGGUCAGAUCUAACAUACAAACACAGAUUACAAGUUCAGACAGUCUGGUUAUAAUGGGUAAGAGAGCCUUGCCUGUUACAGCUAUCAACCUAAAGCACAGAUAUAUAAAGAGCCUGCAGCUCUGCAGAUAUUCCUAAACUACAACGCCCAUGAUCCUUUGCUAGUCUUUUCCUCCAAGGUGCUAUAACUUAAUACCUUCUGGUCGAUUUCCCAUUAAUUUUGUAGGUAGGUAAACUUUGCAAGCCUUUCAAUG